CCCUUAGAUGUUCUGGGCCGCACGCGCGCUACACUGACGAAGUCAGCGAGCAUGUCCUACGCCGACAGGUGCGGGGAAUCUUGUCAAACUUCGUCGUGAUGGGGAUUGAUUAUUGAAAUUCUUGAUCAUCAACGAGGAAUUCCUAGUAAGCGCAAGUCAGCAGCUUGCGUUGAUUACGUCCCUGCCCUUUGUACACACCGCCCGUCGCUCCUACCGAUUGGGUGUGCUGGUGAAAUGUUCGGAUCGGCCGUUUGUCGCGGUUUCCGCGGCUCGUGGCUGAGAAGUUCAUUAAACCCUCCCACCUAGAGGAAGGAGAAGUCGUAACA
rnacentral:rRNA from 1 species